rnacentral:rRNA from 1 species
UUUCUUUGAAGAGUGACGGGCGAUUUGUGCAUGCUUGGUUUAUUUUUUAUAAGAUGUUUUUUCUUAGUUAUUAGUUUUAAGUCCUUUUUCUUCUUUUUUUGUUUUUAUUUCACAAUAAAUUUUAGUAUCCCAAAUUCUCUAAUUUAUUGCCUUUGUCUUGAUUUGUUUUUUAAUAUUUUUUAUUCUUAGAGAAAAAAUUUUUUUUUUGUCUUAACAAUGAUAUAAAAAGUUAAAAUUUUAGUUUCAAUUUAUUGUGGGCCAUCUAUUACGAUUCAGGAUCCCCUAUUAAUAUCAAACACCGCCAUCUUUUUUAGGUUUUUUUUAUUUAAUUACUAUCUUUAUUUUUUUUAAAA